AACGAACGCUGGCGGCAGGCUUAACACAUGCAAGUCGAGCGAGAUUUUCGGAUCUAGCGGCGGACGGGUGAGUAACGCGUGGGAACGUGCCCUUUGCUACGGAAUAGCCCCGGGAAACUGGGAGUAAUACCGUAUGUGCCCUUCGGGGAAAGAUUUAUCGGCAAAGGAUCGGCCCGCGUUGGAUUAGGUAGUUGGUGGGGUAAUGGCCUACCAAGCCGACGAUCCAUAGCUGGUUUGAGAGGAUGAUCAGCCACACUGGGACUGAGACACGGCCCAGACUCCUACGGGAGGCAGCAGUGGGGAAUCUUAGACAAUGGGGGCAACCCUGAUCUAGCCAUGCCGCGUGAGUGAUGAAGGCCUUAGGGUUGUAAAGCUCUUUCAGCUGGGAAGAUAAUGACGGUACCAGCAGAAGAAGCCCCGGCUAACUCCGUGCCAGCAGCCGCCGUAA
rnacentral:rRNA from 1 species